rnacentral:rRNA from 1 species
UACGUAGGGUGCAAGCGUUAUUCGGAAUUACUGGGCGUAAAGCGUGCGCAGGCGGUUGUGUAAGACAGAUGUGAAAUCCCCGGGCUCAACCUGGGAACUGCAUUUGUGACUGCACAGCUGGAGUGCGGCAGAGGGGGAUGGAAUUCCGCGUGUAGCAGUGAAAUGCGUAGAUAUGCGGAGGAACACCGAUGGCGAAGGCAAUCCCCUGGGCCUGCACUGACGCUCAUGCACGAAAGCGUGGGGAGCAAACAGG